GUUGUUAUCCUUUAUGGACCAGCCCUCUGGGGAGCCACAGGGAACAGCUUGGAACAACAGGGAAUGCAUUUGGAAGUUGCCAAACUUUACUUACUGCCUCGCAGGGCUUUGGGAUUUGGAUUAUUGGCUCUCACCUGCGUGGGCAUCUGGAAGAUUUUGGAUUAUCUGUUUUUUAACAGAGGAGAAAACUCGAGGGAGCUCCAGUUUGAGAAAUCCCAGCGAGUUCAGGGGAUUAACACGUGGCCUUCCAGGCGGGGAUGUUGGAGGCAAAAUCCUUGGGAAAUGCCAGAGCUCUGCUAACAGGCCUUGCUUGAGGUGCUGCUCAGCAUUCCAUGGGCAGAUUCCUGAGGCCUGGAUGAACUGAUCCCCCCUUACAGCAGCACCUGUGAGAUGUGAAAUCUGCAGGGGUGCAGCCAGGGCCCCUCAGGAGAGCCUGGAGAUGGUGCCAGAGACUUCUCUGGAGCUCUGGAUGCCGCUGCCACCUUCUCACAAAGAGCCCUGGAAGAGCCCAGCAGGAGAGAAGGGAAGAGCAGGAUAAUCCACAGAAUAUUCCCUGAAUCCUCCUUGCAGUUGCUGCUGGUUGGAUGUUGUGUUCCCUGGGAUCCCUGAGGAUGGGCUGCUCCAGCCUCAGCGAUGGAGGGCAGGAGAUCUCCUGUGGUUGUCCCAGAAAUGGGAAAAUGUUCAUCCCAGGAAGAGGAGGCAGCUUUUCUGGAUUUUAUGGCACAGCAGCAGGUCCUGCUUGGUCCCAAAAGGAGACAGAUCCCGGUUGCCCAGGUUGGAAAAGACCUUUAAGACCAUCAAACCCAACCAUUAAAGAGAUGUAAAUGUGCAAAUGCUCCUGGGUGGGGUUUAAUGGUGAGGGUGUGGAAUUCCCAAGGUUUGCCAUGGGAUGGGAUUGGAUCUCUGCCCGCUGUGUGCCCUGGCAGAGCUUCUCCCAAAAAACCAAAGGUGAUCUACAGGAUGCUGGACCUGGAUCAGCUGAGCCAGAGUGUUUAUUCCCCAAAAUCAUCUCUGGUUUCUCCUCUGCUUCAGUGGAGAUCCCUGGGGAGGUGGAAACUCUCCUGAGGGUCCUUUUCCUCUAAAGUCACUCUCCAAGAUUAUUCCCCUGCUCCUGGAGACACUCCUACGUUCUCUGGCCAUCUCCCUGCCCCAAGGCUGGCCCCCUCACCCCCCAAAUUUCUCCUCCAAAAGAGGCUCCAAACCUUUCCUAGAUUUCAUUUAUUGAGGCCAGAGGCUCCUUUUCCACAUAUCCGCACAGAUUUUCUCCUUCUAUCCCAUCCAGCUCUGCCCUCCAGGCUCCCAAACUUCCCCUGUGCUUCUCUCACAAAAAGAGUGUGGGAUUCUCCAGGAGGUGAAGCAGCACAGGAUGGAAUCUCCAGCUCCUGCUGGCACUUCCCAGCUCCCUGAAGGAUCUCCCAAAGGCGCCCAACAGUUCCAAGCUCGUGGAUUGUUCUCUUCCCUGCCGCCAAUCCAUGCAAACCCGGCCACAUUUCAACCUUCUGUGCACACCUGAACUCCGUGGCUUUAUUUUCACUGCAGGCUCUUUGUUCCUGGGUGCUCUGGGAAGGGAAUUCGUGCCUAAUCCUUCGAUAUGUGACUCCAUGCUUUGCAUAUCAUCCUCGUGUCCCCUGUCCCCAACAUCUUCCCUUUUGUGACGAGCUGGGCUCGUGUCUGAACCCUCUUCCCUGAUCCUAGAAGGUUUUUUCCUCCCAUCCUGGGAGAUUACAACUAAUUCAGUGCCCAGCCAUGCAUGCCCAAAUUUAAAUAAUAAAUCAUCUCUCCCUGCCAGCAAGCACCCCUGGACACGAAGGCAAAGCCCCACUCUUUCCUGGGAAAAAUGGGGCUCUGCCUCAGCCUUGAAAAUUCUGGGAAUUGUGGAUUGGGGGUGCUUCCCACCUGCCUGCACAUCCCCCUUCCCCACCCUCCCUGCCUGCC